UAUGAAGUGCCUGAAAAAGGGUAAUUUUGAUAGAAUUAAUCAUGUGUAAUACACCUUUAUAA
rnacentral:tRNA from 1 species